GAAAUAUUCAGGGCACAACACAGGAUGACCUGCCUCCCACAUAAGCAAUCUCCUGGUUCAGCCUCAACACACACAAUUUUGGAUCUGCUUGUAUGCUAAUUAUCAGCUGUUCUUCUGUCCAAUGAGUCCCUCCUAUGUUCCUGCCCUGUGCUAGGUACUGUAGAAGAGCAAGAAGCAAACAAGAGAGACAUCACAGACCUUCAACUGAGCAAGAAUAAAAGAAACAAAUGCUGGGACAAAGAUUCAAGAGCAAGAAUUUUAUUCAGAAGCGCAUCUGUUGUCUUGAAACAUGAGGUGAUAAUGGAAAGGAUGAAAUCCAACCUAAGGAUGGCAGAACAGAGCUGGAGAAGGGCCUGGAUCCUUUUUGUCCAAUCCCUUGGCUGUUCACCUCCCAAUUAAGGUUCUCUAGUUAGGUUUUCCCGUGACUUGCUGCUGAAAGCACGCCCGGUAGGUAGAGCUGGGAAGGUGAACAGAGAAGGAUGCCCAGUGUCAGCAGUCCUAUCCGAAAACACCAUGAGGCGGCGGCUGAGCGUGGAAAGCAGGGUACAAGUGCGAACAAUUAACAGCUGCGCUCAGAGUCCUUCAGUGGCUCCCAUCUCACUCAGUGUAAAAGCCGAAGUUCUCCCAAUGUCCAAGAAGAUCCUGCAUGCCCGGGCCGUGUCCUUCCCCGACUGCUGCUCCAUCUGCACUGACCUCCCAGCUGCUCCUCAAACUUGCUCAGCUCCUUAGGGUCUAUGCACUGAGUGUUAUUUCUGUCUGGAAUGUUCUUCUCCCUGAUAUCUUUGGGACUGAAUGCUCUUCCUCCUUCUCUCUUUGCCCAUGUCAUCUUCUGAGAUGGACAAGGGCCAAGGUAUGGGGGGCAGGUUGGGUAGAAAGGGCUCAAGUAUCCUCCAUUCUCCUCUUUUUAACCAGAGUAGCUUCAAUUUUGUGUGCUUUAUACAUUGGAGUUUCUUGUAAGAUUUGAUGUGAACACAGGACUCCACUGCCUUAACAGAAAGCCUGAAAAAAACAUCAUAUUGAAAGGGGAAAAAUUGGUGGUUGGGAGAUUUAUUAGACAUGGUUGCUGUAAUUCAGAUGAGAAAUGAUAAGGGAGGGACCAGAGUGGUAGUUACAUGAGUGCAAAGAAAUGAAUGGACUUGAGAAAUAUCUAUGGAAGCAAAUCCACUAAAUGUGUCAAUUGAUUGGCUGUGGGGCAUAAGAAAGAGUGCAGGACAUUCUCAGGCUGGGUAUGUGGUGAUCAUUUAUAUAAAAUGAGUGUGGUAUUGCACAUGGGAAAAGCAGUUGUAUUGAGUUUGGGGGAUUGGAGACAUUUAUCAGGAAACUACCAAAAGUCAAGGUGAGCUCAGGUAGGCCUGGAGAUACAGGAGUCAUUAUUAAAAAUAAGAAUACCUGCCGUGUGUUGAGGGCUGGUCGUAUGCCAAGCAUUGUGCUAAGCACUUCCAUUUCGUAGGGCUAUUAUAAGGGUUCCGUAAACACUGAGUACAUUUAUUUCAAGUGGGAUCCCUGUUCCUCCCAUUCACUACAGUUAGUGUAACGUAGAAUGUUGAUGAGGAAAGAGAGCUUUCUAGUAGACACCAUGGGCAAGGAUGCUGCAUGACCUCUGGGAAGAACUGGAAGCACACUUUCACCUCCUCCAGGCUGUUCCUCCACCUCCUAUCUGUCCUCCUCUCCUGUGCCUCACAGCAGUAGAGCAGCUCACCCUGGGCCUAGUUCAUCUAACGGAAUACGACCGCUAACAACUCCCAAGCUUGAUGUGGGCCAGCACUUUCUCAGCCCCAAGUAUGAAUUUUUAGGGAAAUGAUUCAGUUGGCCCAGCUUGUGAUGAACCAAUCCCCUGCAGCCAGGGGGUAGGGACACGCGGGGAAAUCAUGUGGCUGGAAGGAAGAUAGAGCAACAUCUCCCCAACUAUGGAGGGGAGAUGGGUUAUUUCCCAGAAAAGAUAAAGAGCUGGACAGACAAAUCAAGAUGUGUCUCCAACAGGAAGCUGUCAUCACCCCAUUUUACAGAUGAGCAACUGCAGAAGCUACACAAGGUAGUGACAUGUCCCAGAGAGAGGAAAACGACAAUGUAGGAAGGGACCGGGGAGCUCUGUUUGGGCCUGUGUUUGCGGGAUAAUUGGGAGACGAGAAGCUGGAGAAGGCGCCGUAACUGUCGUUGCCACACUUGCAUCCUCUCAACCUAUCCAGGGAGGUGUUCACCGACAGUUCCGGUUCAUGUUGGUGGCUCUCUGGGUCUCUGCCUGAGAAUGUUCUCUGGUCCCUGGAUGCAAGGGGAGCCAGAAGCGCCAGCCAGUUGACCCAUGAGGAAUGAUAAACAGGUACUCGGGCUUCCCCAGCCCCCCGGGGAAACAUUCUGCGGGAUAUUCCAAAAAGUCAUCAGAGUUCCCAACGAGGUGAGCCCCAGCUGCCCACAAUGGUAACCCGAGCACGACGUAGCUCUUCGUCUUUCUUUUCUUGCUGGUCUUGCUCUCUCAUUCCCUCGUUGUUCUUCCUUGGAAGCUACCUGCACUCAAACGGUUGUCUCGGGGUCGGCCUGUGAAGGAGCUGAAAUUAGGAGACCAUGAGGACGUCUCAAAGACUGUGCAUAGAGAGACCAGAAUAAAACUCAUGAGAAAAGCCAGAGAAUGGGGACCAGCAGCCAACACCUGCCUCCAGGAGAUGCCCACUCCUCAGACUUGGCCCUGAGGCAGAAGAAUGGAAGAUAGUAAAAGAUCAGAAGUACCUGGAAGAAGAAGAAAGAAAGGAAAUAGGGAAACAAGACUAUUCCUGUUCCAUUCAAAGAGCAUUAGGAUAGAAUCUCUCUCUCCCUCUCCCUCAUAUAACAUUUCCAAUUUCUCAUCCACAUGACAUUUCAAUAAAUUGACUGGGCUCACAGAGUUUGAAGAAACGUAUGCAUGGAAGUCUUGCCAACAUUGGAAGUCAAAGAUUUACAUACAUUAGGUGAUUAGGGCUCUACACAGCAGAAUAUGAAAUCAAGUACAAGAUGAACAAUCAUGAGUAGGAAGUAUUUCAGAAAAAGGAGAAAGGAUUGGGGAGAAGGGUGAUAAUAUCUGGAGACACCUAGUCAUGGGAGCACCAUGGAGCUUCCACACGCCACAUGCAGGCUCUGACAGUUUACUCACUACCUCGCCUGUCCAGGCCCUUGUAGGAUAACGCUAACCCCUAGCAAGCUCCUCUGAAAACUGGCUCCUGAAAGGUCUCGUUCCCCUUCCUUCUGGAGAACACUUCUAAGUUAAUUUCUUCUUCCCCAAGACAUAUGGAGGAAGUUCACAUGAACCCUCGAGUCUUUUCUUUCAUGAGCUUUAACUCUCAAGGAAGAUUUUUUUUAAUAAUAAAUUUAUUUUUUAUUGGUGUUCAAUUUGCCAGCAUACAGAU